rnacentral:rRNA from 1 species
CCCUUAGACGUUCUGGGCCGCACGCGCGCUACACUGACCGGUGCAACAAGCAUCCGUCCUUGGCCGACAGGCCCGGACAAUCUUUGAACGCCGGUCGUGAUGGGGAUAGACUUUUGCAAUUUUUGGUCUUCAACGAGGAAUUCCUAGUAAACGCAAGUCAUCAACUUGCAUUGAUUACGUCCCUGCCCUUUGUACACACCGCCCGUCGCACCUACCGAUUGAAUGGUCCGGUGAAGCCUCCGGAUUGGCGCGCACCUCGGUGCCGCCGAGAAGUUGGCUAAACCUUACCAUUUAGAGGAAGGUGAAGUCGUAACA